UGAUUAUUGAGAUAAAAGAUAUUGCUGUAGAAGAGCUGGAGGGUUACAGAAAUCAACGGAGCCACAGUAAUUUUCCACAGCUGAGGCUCUGACUCCUGACUUACCCUUUUAUCCAUCUUGUGAUGUACUGCUCUGCCUCUCCAUUCCUGCAAUCUGCAGCUUUUUCCAAGGGGUACCCCACACUGGAACCCGUUAUGUCCUGAGAUGGGUCUGCUGGAGCCAGCUGGAUCCAGCCUGCCUCUCCUCACAGAGCCCAUGUGUCUCCCCAGCCAGCAUCUCUGCAGGGACAGCUGCCACACGCAUCAGGACAUGACUAAAAACACUGGGCUGUGAAAGGAACAAGAACCAAGACCUCUGGACUGCUAUGUGGCACCAACAGGAGCACAUCUCAUCUAUCUUCUGUGAGCUAUUGAUGGUACUUAAAUAAGUACCUCUGUUGAAGAAAGCAGAAUUCAAAGGAAAAUUCAGGUUGACCCUGCAAUAUGAGCCAUCAGGAGCAUCCAACCAUAUACAAAAUUUUGGAAAACAAAUGAAAUUCUGCAAAAGCAAUGGAGAGGCACAUCUUGGAGGACACCACGGGGGAGAAUCACUGAGCAGUGGCUGCAGUUGAAGAAUCAGACUUUGACAGGCAGGUCCUCAAAAGUGGCUGUAUUUUUUUACUUGAGAAAAAAUAAAAGACCCUACAAAGUAUCCAAACCUGUUUCAAGUCCAGUUGGGAGAGAUGAUAAAAAUGUGCUCUGAAUGUCCAAAAAACUGUAAGGAUGCACACAGAUGGAGGCAGAAUGGCUGUUCUCUGGAUAAUCACUACAAAGAAUGUCAGCUGCUAGUGUAUCCAGCUUCUGAGCUGGCUAAAUGGAAAC